CUACUGUUCCGGGGAGUAAAGUGGGCAAAGUGCGGGGGGGGGGUGGGCGACAAAAUAUAUUUUGAGUUCUUUUCCCCUUAGGUCUGUCUAGAAUCCUAAAGGCAGAUGACUCAAGGGAACCAGGAAAAAAAGAAAAUCCAGUAUCAGGAUAAGCAGAACUCAACAGGUUUACAGUUUCUAGAAAUUAGAUGAAUAGCUUUCACGUUGAAUAUGGAGGAGCUGUCCAUUGGCGAAAUGGCUGGUAGUUUAUUCUUUUCCCCCUCCCUUAACAAGACUUGUAAAAUUCCUAAUCUUUUGAAUAUUUUUACUUGAAAUAUUUGGGAAUGGUCUUAACAGGGAGGAGUGGGUGGGGGAAAAUGUUUUUUCUAAGAUUUUCCACAGAUGCUAUAGUUCUGUUGGCACACUGGGUUAGAGAAGGCGUGUACUGCUAUGCUGUUGGCACGACACCUUCAGGGACUGGAGCUGCCCUUUAUCCUUGGAAGAGUUUCCCCAGUGGCCGCUGAAGUACAGCACAGUGCAGCUUUGGUUCACAGUCACCUCAGGAGAACCUCAGGAGCUUGAGUAGGCCAGAUGUUAAAGUUAAGUUUUCAAGCACCAUGACUUAAACAUUUCAUUAAAGGGGAGGGGCAAAACUUAGUUGGCUGUGACCUGUUGUAUUUGGGUGGGGGGG
rnacentral:lncRNA from 1 species